AUGAGUACUUUAUAUUUUCGUUGUUUUUGUUGACAAGAAUUCUGAAUGAAAACCUGCCUCAGCCAGGGUAACUGAAUAUCUGGAGCGCACUUCUAAUUUCCAAAUCAGACCCACUUCAAGCAAUCCCUCUGAAUUCCUUGCAGUUUCACCAUGGGCAUCCUAGAAGAGAUUAUCUUCUCUUGUACACUUGUGUGAAGAUAGAGAAGUGAUGAGCAGCAGGGAAAGACUCUGAAAUUUGGUGUCCAGACAUGGAAUAAAGCAAUGUCAGGAAGAGUCAAAGGUGGGUCCCUGGCACUCAGGAAGGAUCUAAAGUGAGAAUUGAAGUCUAUGGGGAGAUCAGAGAGAGAUUUCAAUGAAGAAGAAGGAGGUGGCAUGCA
rnacentral:lncRNA from 1 species